CUGUUGCUAUCUGAUGGCGACCGGCGCACGGGUGCGUAACGCGUAUACAACCUACCUAUUACUGAGGGAUAGCCCGAAGAAAUUUGGAUUAAUACCUCAUAGAAUUAUAAGAUGGCAUCAUUUAAUAAUUAAAGGUUACGGUAAUAGAUGGGUAUGCGUCCUAUUAGCUAGAUGGUGAGGUAACGGCUCACCAUGGCGACGAUAGGUAGGGGUCCUGAGAGGGAGAUCCCCCACACUGGUACUGAGACACGGACCAGACUCCUACGGGAGGCAGCAGUGAGGAAUAUUGGACAAUGGAGGCAACUCUGAUCCAGCCAUGCCGCGUGUAGGAAGACGGCCCUAUGGGUUGUAAACUACUUUUGUACGGGAAGAAAUGCAGUCACGUGUGAUUGUUUGACGGUACCGUAAGAAUAAGCACCGGCUAACUCCGUGCCAGCAGCCGCGGUAAUACGGAGGGUGCAAGCGUUAUCCGGAAUCAUUGGGUUUAAAGGGUCCGUAGGCGGGUAAUUAAGUCAGUGGUGAAAUGCAGGGGCUCAACUCCGGCACUGCCAUUGAUACUGGUUAUCUUGAAUUAUUGUGAAGUGGUUAGAAUAUGUAGUGUAGCGGUGAAAUGCUUAGAUAUUACAUAGAAUGCCGUCUGCAAAGGCAUCUCGCUACCAAUUUAUUUACCCUG
rnacentral:rRNA from 1 species